CCUACGGGUGGCAGCAGUGGGGAAUAUUGCACAAUGGGGGAAACCCUGAUGCAGCGACGCCGCGUGAGUGAAGAAGUAUUUCGGUAUUUAAAGCUCUAUCAGUAGGGAAGUAAAUGACGGUACCUGUUUAAGAAGCCCCGUCUAACUACGUGCCAGCAGCCGUGGUAAUACGUAGGGGGCAAGCGUUAUCCGGAUUUACUGGGUGUAAAGGGAGCGUAGACGGCAGCACAAGUCUGGAGUGAAAUGCCGGGGCUUAACCCCGGAACUGCUUUGGAAACUGUGCAGCUAGAGUGCAGGAGAGGUAAGUGGAAGUCGUAGUGGAGCGGUGAAAUGCGUAGAUAUUAGGAGGAACACCAGUGGCGAAGGCGGCUUACUGGACUGUAACUGACGUUGAGGCUCGAAAGCGUGGGGAGCAAACAGGAUUAGAUACCCUUGUAGUC
rnacentral:rRNA from 1 species